AGUCACGUGACAGCUCUCACACGGAGAGCGCUCAGCCGCGGCGUCUGCGCCGGAGAAGCCCCCACUGACUGGGAUUUUCUCUCAGAGCGACUGGGUGGCCCGCCUACUUCACCGAGGAGAGGCCUGUUACGCUCUGGCUGUCCUAACAACUCACCUAUAUCCCCACCCUUGUCUCACAGGCCGAGGUACAGGGGGGCGGUUAUUUCCUUCCUCAGCAGCGCGGCACACAGACUUCCGGUUAGCCCAGCGCCCACGACCAGUACCCGGGACAUGGCGGCUGCCCUUCGGCUAGGCCGCUGACAGAGACGCGGAGCCUCGCCGUCCCACUCUACCACUGUGUCCCCGCGUGGGUCAGGCAGGGCGGUGCCCUGCGCGAGACGUCUGCUCCUGAGAGCGCGGAGAACCCACAGGGGUGACUGAGGCCCCGGCGACUUUCUGCCCAGGCCUCCACCGGGCAGCUUGGUUACCCGGUGAGCCCCAAUCCCAUCGUCCCCUGGAGGAUAAAUCAGGAAGUCACCGCCAGUUGGCCUCUUGAGGAUGACUGAAGUGAGGGAGAGGAGUCAGCAGCAAAGCCACAGCCAGAUUUCUUCUGUGGUUUUAUAGGCCUCUUCAGGUGACAGAGGGUUUUGAAAUCAGAGACUUUUUUUUUUUUAAUCAUUGUUACACCACCUCAGAGACUAUAAAUUAUGUGUCCUUCCUGACAUUGGCUCCUCAGUGACUGCAAAAUGUGGAAAAUAAUACCUCCUUUCCAAAGUUGUGAAGAAUACAGUUUCCGUGGAGCCACCCUUACUUCUGGAGCACAAGUGCUGACCUGGGUCAUCAGGUACUCGAUGAAUGACAGCAGAUGCAUUCACUGAACAUUCUAGAAGGAAAGAUGAGCUCAUCCAUCCUGAUCUCCAGCUCUUCACUCAUAACUGGUGGACAGCAGACCUGUGCUCUCAUGGAUAGAACUUCAGCAUUGUCCUUUUUUUGCAUACCGAUUAGGGUUCCUUGAGAAUGGCCAUCUUUCCUCUAAUAAAUUAUCAACAGUAUCGGCUGAGGAGGAAGUUUAUUGGAAAGCAAUUGAGGAGUGAGUCUGAUCCACAGGACCCACCUUUUAAAAAAAAAAACCAGACAAGGACCUAGCAUGGCUGCCUUCUGAGAGGUCCAACAAGCAGCUGAAAGAGUCAGAUGUAGGAACCAGCACCGAACUAAUGUACUGGACAGAAGCCCGGAACCCCUGUAAUUGAAUUGAGAAAAAGCUGGAAGAAGCUGAGGAGGAGGGCAGGCCCCAGGCAAAGACCAGAAGCUUCAACUAAUCUGGACCCCUGAGAUCUCUCAAACAUUGAGACACCAAACAACAGCACUCAUCAGCUGGUAUGAGGCCUCCAACACAGAUACAGUAGAGGUUUGCCUGGUCUGGACUCAGUGAGAGAAGAUGUAUCUAACCCUCCACAAACUUGAGCCUCCAGGGAUUGUGUAGGUCUGGUGGGGUGGGGUGGGUGGUGGGAGUGGGAACAUUCUCUUAGAGAUGGGGCGGAGGGGGGAGGUAUGGGAUGGGGAGCAUCAGGUGUGUGUGUGUGGGGGGGUGGCAGACUGGGAUGGGGAUCAAGUAUGGACUGUAGAAUAUAAUAAAAGAAUAAUAAAAAAAAACCUUAAAAACAGAA